GCUGUCCGCUCCGGCCGAGAAUCACUUGCUGGUAUUUUCGCCAUUUCCGCGCCGCUUUUUUUCCUCGACUUACCGUGUGAUCGUUUCGAUAAUGAAAAUUGAUCCCGCGAAAGUCGAUUCUGCGUCGCGUCGUCGUUUCGAUCCUAUCGCACGCAUUUUUUGCAAAACAUUCGCGUGGCAGCGUGGGAGCCUGCGCCUGUCGCUACGGCCGCCAUUUCUGUUUUCCGGGACCGUUUGGAUUUCCCGCAACAGUGAAUCGCGGGAAUUGAUGGCUACGACAGCUGUGAAGACCGGCGGAAGACCAGUAAAGAGAAGGAGAAAAAAAAGGAAAGAGCACACAGGAAAACGUUGUGACAACAGCUGUCAUUGAAAAUGCCACGAGUAGAGAGUCAAAGGAAGCUGCUGAGUAGGUUUCGCGGAUAUUCUUACCAGGUCCAAAGAAUUAUUCUACGAAAAGGCUGCGUGCGACGUGCGUGCGACGUGUGUGCAUUCCGUGCGAAAGCAGUCUCGAUGUCCCGACAGUUACGAGA